rnacentral:rRNA from 1 species
UAAGCGGAGGAAAAGAAACUAACANGGAUUCCCCUAGCAACUGCGAGUGAAGCGGGAAAAGCUCAAAUUUAAAAUCUGGUGGUCUCUGGCCAUUCGAGUUGUAAUUUAGAGAAGCGUCUUCCGCGCUGGACCGUGCACAAGUCUCCUGGAAUGGAGCGUCAUAGAGGGUGAGAAUCCCGUCUUUGGCACGGACACACCAGGGCUUUUGUGAUGCGCUCUCGAAGAGUCGAGUUGUUUGGGAAUGCAGCUCAAAAUGGGUGGUGAACUCCAUCUAAAGCUAAAUAUUGGCGAGAGACCGAUAGCGAACAAGUACCGUGAGGGAAAGAUGAAAAGCACUUUGGAAAGAGAGUGAAACAGUACGUGAAAUUGUUGAAAGGGAAACGCUUGAAGUCAGUCACGUCGACCGAGACUCAGCCUUGCCUUGGCUUGGUGUACUUCUCGGCUGACGGGUCAGCAUCAAUUUUGCCCCUUGGAUAAUGGCGAGGGAAAUGUGACACCUUUACGGUGUGUUAUAGUCUCUCGUCGCAUGCAAGGGUUGGGAUUGAGGAACUCAGCACGCGCCUUUGGGUGUCGGGGCUUUGCCCACGAUACGUGCUUAGGAUGUUGGCAUAAUGGCUUUAAACGACC